AUUGAUAGUAAGCAAAUAUGAACGGAAUCAUAAAACAAAGGUAGUUCCCACCAAGAAGUGCUUAUGAUUUUAUAUUCCGCACUCCUUGUGGGGGCUUUUGUUUUUUUUCCACCUCAUAUUUGUAAUAUCACGUGUAACGUGCAAGAUUCUAGGAGGAUUUAAUUAUGCAAAACGGUACAGUAAAAUGGUUCAACGCGGAAAAAGGUUAUGGCUUCAUCCAGGUAGAAGAAGGUAACGACGUAUUCGUACACUUCUCUGCUAUCCAAGAAGAAGGUUUCAAGUCUCUUGAAGAAGGUCAAGAAGUUACUUUUGAAAUCGUAGAAGGCGACCGUGGCCCACAAGCGGCUAACGUUGUUAAACAAUAAAUAAAAAGCCCUGAAAGCAACAGCUGCCAGCUGUUGCUUUUUU
rnacentral:sRNA from 1 species